UGCCCUGGAUUAGGCUUUGGCUUAAGGGAGUGUUGUAGCUGUUUUGAUCUUCUAUCCAGAGCACUGAAACUUUCUCCACAUCAGC
rnacentral:pre_miRNA from 1 species